AACGAACGCUGGCGGCGUGCUUAACACAUGCAAGUCGAACGAGAAAGUUUCCUUCGGGAAGCUAGUAAAGUGGCGCAAGGGUGAGUAACACGUGAAUAAUCUGCCCUCGAGAUUGGGAUAACUUGGCGAAAGCUAGGCUAAUACCGGAUAAGACCACAUUUCAUAAGGAAUGCGGUAAAAGAAGUCUCAAACUUCACUCGAGGAUGAGUUCGCGGACCAUUAGCUUGUUGGUGAGAUAAAAGCUCACCAAGGCUUCGAUGGAUAGCCGGCCUGAGAGGGUGAUCGGCCACACUGGAACUGAGACACGGUCCAGACUCCUACGGGAGGCAGCAGUAGGGAAUCUUGCACAAUGGAGGAAACUCUGAUGCAGCGAUGCCGCGUGAGUGAAG
rnacentral:rRNA from 1 species